AAAAAAAGAAAAUCCUUAUAAAGUAGAGGCAUCGUAGUAAAUCUUUAAUAAUGUAAAUUCUUAGAAGGAAAGAUUUAAGUUAAUGAAAAUUUGAAUUACAAUGCAGCAAAGAAAAAAAAAAAAAAAAGAAUUUCACUUGUAGAGAGUAAGGAAAACUCGUGUUUAAAAUAAAUAAGAAGAAAGUCAGGAGUAACUGUAUAAGUAAAUCGGCAAUAAUCUUAUUGUAAGUGGAAAAAAAUUUUUUUUCUCUAUACAAAAUCGACUUAAACAAAUAUAUGGACAUAAAACGGCAAAAAUAAACAGAUCCAUUUUCAUUUUAGCAGCAGAAAGGAACAAGAUUGCUUCAGUAGUAAAAGCAGUAUUGCAAUGACUUCCAUACUACAUCAAUAACCUUUCUUUCUUUUUUUUUUUCCUUUCUUUUUCCUUUAUAUCUGUGAGUGCUUCCAGAUGCUUCAAACAGGUCACGAGAAACAAAGAAAUCCUUAUUUAGAUAAGCAAAGCUCUUAAAAAUCUUAAAUAACCAACUUAUAGUUUAUUAAAACUUGAUCAAAACUUAUCACACAAAGAAAUUUUUGGAGUAGAGAAAUUCUAAAAGUGGACUUGUUUUCCUUCUGUUCUCUUCUUUAUUUUUUUCGGUAUUUUCAUUCUUUCAUAAAGAAAUCCACAGGAGAAAUUCAUUUUCAGCUGUGUAUUGACAUCCGCCGGUUCAAUUCAACCAUCAGGCAACUGCCAAGAUGGCUGAACUGCACCUUCGAUCGAGAGUGCCUCUAUCAACGAACAAUAAACCACAACGGGGCAUACUUGGAAACCUUCCAGAAUUGUUGGACAAAGGAAGAUCGAGCCGCUUUAAUGAACACAGAUGACAUUUAUACGUUUUGGCGAAAAUGCAACUUUUUUUCUUUUAAUUCUCGGUGUUUGUGGCUACUAUUACAGAAAAAAAAACCUCAAACGCUUUUUUUCUUCUUUUCUUUCUCGAAUAGACAUACAUGCAAAGAGUAUAUUUAUUAUUAUUAUUAUUAUAUUCUUCCUUGGUUCUCUUCAUCCAUGCAGUAAAACAUCGUUUAGGGUGUAGUUAAUAAAUUUUUAUAACAUUUUAAUUGCACGGAAAAGAUUAUCCCGCUCAUUUUUCAUAUUCCUCGUUCGAUCCCGCACCGAAACGACUCGUAAUAAUAAAUUUUCUUGAUAUUAAUGAAUAAUAACAUGCGAAAAUUAAGUUUAUUCGUCGAAUUAAAGUAAAAAGUAUUUAAAUAUUUCGAAAGGAUUGUUAUGUCGAAAGAUGUGUUCAUGAGAAACUACGACAGACAGCGACCAUACGAUAAUUACCCUAUUAGUAACGUUCAGUAACUCAGUGUUACGUAAUUGAGUUAAGAGACUGUGGUUUCACUAGUUUCGGUAAUUAAGGAGAGGUGAUACAGUCGGUUUACUAAACCAAGUGGAGAAAAAUAGAUCCCGAGAAUCAGAAAAUGUUGCAACGCCUACUUUUCUCUUUAAGUUAAAAUGCAAUAAUCGUAACAAUCCAUUAUCUCGAAAAUUCCUCUAUAAUUACCAUAAUUACCGCGAAAAGAUUGUAUAAUAUUUAUAUUCUAAGCGUUAAACUGAUGAGUAAGAUUGAUAUCCGUUUUUGGAC
rnacentral:lncRNA from 1 species